ensembl:lncRNA
UUAGAAUAGUUGUUGAGAACAGUGGAGGAUGAACCCCCCGCAAGGGUAAGUAGCAGAAUUACUUAAUUCAAGGCACCUGGGGCUAAGCUCAGUUUGGAGAACUUGAAUUUGUCAUGAUUGGUUUUCUCCAGCAACCCUCGGUGUUAUAAGUGGAGUAAGUAGAUUGGACUCUUGACCCUGGAUGGGCAUUUUCAGGACAGAUAAACUUGUCUAUGAAGCCCUGAGCAGCCACCUGGAUCUCAGCCUGGAUUAUUUGCAAAAGGUCUCAGUUCACAUCCCCGCCCACCCCGAAGGAGGCUUGGGAGGAAGAGCCUGCAGCUGACACCUUCCAACAACUUCUGCCCUCUGUAUUUCCUGCUCAGUGGCCUCACUCCGGUGUGGGGAGAUCCAUGUGGGUUUAAUGAACAAUUGCCCUUCACAGGCUUGAGCUCACCCUAUAAAUAGGACCUGCAUUUCAGUGGUGGGAUUUAGAUGCUGCAGGUGGUAGGCUGCAGGAAGAUUGGCCCGACCAUAGGAUUUGUCUAAAACCCCAAGUGAGUGAGUGAGUGGGUAAAAAUAGUGACCAGGGAACCUGUCUGGUCCAGGAAAUAUUAAUCAUUUCCCAGGCGCCUUGUUCCAGCAUUGCCCGGGGGCUGGCCAGGAGCUGAUUCCAAUGGAGCCUUUGGGGAUGGGGAGGUAAACUCGUGCCAGGGGUGGGAAUGCCAUUUCCCAGCAUCUGGCUUUCUUAUCCCCGGGGAGGCAGAGGAGAAGUGAGUGGUCUUCCUUCCAUGGAGGCUGUCGCCCAGCACAACGCCCCAAACUGAGAGCUCACCAAGAUCAAGUGAGGCUGAAGUUCUAAGCUUAUAACGUAAAAUUUUAGAAAAUCCGAGGAGAAGAAAAUAGAGCUCAUUUAUUAAAUCCCAGCAGUUAGGACCAAGGCCCCUGGAGCUGGGAGGGAGUGCUGGGAGGCCAGACUCCAGGUCAUUCUCGCCCCAAUAUGGAGAGACUGUGGGGAGAUGUCAUUCCCCCAGGGAGGUCUCAGUCUGGACAUGGAAACAGGAGGUUUGGAGAAAGGAAAUACGGGGUCCAUACGUAACCCACGAGGUGCCCACAGCCUCCCAAACCACACUUUGGAUGGUUCUUAGAGUCAGGAAUAGGGGGAGGAGAGACGACGGUUCAGAAGUGAGAGCCCAGUUGCUGCCUUGUCCACAGUAGGCACAACAGGAGAGGAGAAUACUAUCAGAUCAUGGAAGAUAGCAUCUGAGACAAGCUCCCCCAGAGAGACCGGCUGGAACAGGCCACCCAGCUCUUCCUUGGUAGGACUUACAGAGAGCCACAUGCAGACGGCUGUCCCAGGUAUCUCUCCUACCCAACCCACCCAGGGCUAUAUCACCUUGAAAAAUUCAUUCCUCUGGAGUUAGGCAUGGCAGGGCCAAAAGGCCUUCUCGGAGAGGUAACUCCACUCAGGACAACUUGGCCUGCAUAAAUGGACCGACAGUCUCCUUGUGGAGAAAAUGGAACCCAAGAUGGCAUGAGUUUGAAUAGCAAGGUGGGGUGGGAGCUAUUAGUGGAUGUGGAAAUAUCUGGAGCGUAGUGCCUGAUUUAUCACCGGCACUCCACGAAUGUUGGUUGAAUGUGCAUAGCAAUUUGUCUAAUAAAGGGUUUUCUUCCUUCCUUCCUUUUUUUCUCAUCAUCUAUUCUUGGUCUGUUCACAUGAAAUAUUUAACUUGGAUCC